GAUGAAUAAAGUAGAUUUUCUCCUCUGGAACACACUGCAGUUUAAUUUCACUUCUUUCUACAAUGUGCGAUGAAGGUGGACUUAACUUUUAAAGGCAAAGGCACAAGCCACUGCCAGGAUAAAUGAAAAGACGCUGAGGGGGCGACGGGCACCACACAGGAGAGGAAAUGCUUUCUGGCUGGUUCCUAAUUUUCAUAUCCGGGUCAUCGUCAGAAAUCAUUUUCAGAGCAGCCAGAAACAUGUUAAUCUGAGGGAGAGCUCCAUACUCCCACACAGACUUCCCUUUCCUGCGGAGUGAGCCAAGAAGGAGGAAGUGGUCCUGAAUGUGAAAGUUGAAACCUUCUGUUCUUCAGUCUUGGUGGCUCUGGGAAGGAUAGAAAUGCCUCCACACAGGGAUCCCAGCUCUAGUGCUAAAAAUGCAGCAGGCCACCAUGAGUGGCUUCCCCAUCCAGAAUCAUGGGGGCGGCUUACAUGUCACUUACAUGAAGGACAGUAGGAAAUGUGAACAAUCACAAGAAAAAUCUACCCUUUACCUGGUUGCUGAUCAUGGCAUUAAAUAUCCAAGAUUGGCUUUUGGCUUUGCUUUCUUGUUUGCUUUGCUUUGUUUUGUUCUUUAAGCAAAUAGGGGUAAAUGAGAUCAAAGUUAUACAUAUUCUAAGUAGAAAUAUUACCUGAUUUUAAAUUAUCUAGAAUUUGGGUGUAUCUAACUGGUUUCAAUGUGGUUUCUUUAAAUCACAGAUCCGGUCACAGGUCAUGCCAAACUCAAAGAGAAAGGAAGGGCACUUGGUAGCAUAAUAACAAUAAAAAAAAUGUGUAAACUGUUGUGAUGAUGAGAGAGAAGAUCAGCUGAGCACAAAGAGGUGUCUCAGGCAGGAUAAGAUCCUCCAAAUGAUUUCUUGGUUUUCAGAUACGAUUCUAAAGUAGGAGCUGAGUACCUCUGCACAGCUCUCCAGCAUUGUCCAGCUGCCAGUGCCUGUGUUACCCCCAAAUUUCUUCCACCUUUUUGUCAGUACCUCAGGUUUGUUCAGGCUGCUUCCCAUCUGUAGCUACAUAUGACACGAUGACAGAAUCUAUGUGCUAUUCUGUGUUCAAAUGUUUGUCUCCAGAAUCACAGUCACAUUAAAUCUAUGUGUAAACAUGAUAUAUGACUGAAUUUUCUGUGCUGUAAAUGAUGUCCUCCGUAUGUCUCAAUACUGUAGGAAAGGGGGGGAAAGGAACAAUAAAGACUGAUGGAGAGUAGAUUAAGAAGCACGUCAUAAAAAAAUCUAAGAAAACCUCUUGGACUCUUGUUUUAAGGUGGAAUCAGUAAGCUGUACCUUCCCAUUCCAAUGAAUUAUCCUAACAGCUCGAUUUACUGAUAGACUGUAGUUAGGUAUGAGACAAACAGUUACUGUACUGUUGAAGACAUUCGAAGCAGAAAAGAGUCAACAAAUUAUAAUUUACAAAGACCCUGGACCAAUCUCAGAAAUACAUAUCUCAGAGAUCAGAUACAGUCUUAUCCUGAAAUAUCAUUGCUAGUUAAUCAGAAGUUGUUGAAAGAAUGGAGUAUAAACAAAGAAUAAACACAACUACAUAGACAGGAUGAACCUUAAUUCAAAUGUUUUAUUAGAAACCAUAAUUUCUUUGUGAAAUGUAUCAUCUUUACCUUUCCAUUUGUUUGUUUUACAAUGAAAUAUCAAGUAAAAUUUAAGUAAAUAAAUAUUUUGGUCAUUGUGAAGUGA